rnacentral:rRNA from 1 species
AUACGGAGGUGGCAAGCGUUGUUCGGAAUUACUGGGCGUAAAGAGUACGUAGGCGGAUCGUUAAGUUAGAGGUGAAAUCCCAGGGCUCAACCCUGGAACUGCCUUUAAUACUGGCGAUCUAGAGAUCGAGAGAGGUGAGUGGAAUUUCCAGUGUAGAGGUGAAAUUCGUAGAUAUUGGAAAGAACACCAGUGGCGAAGGCGGCUCACUGGCUCGAUACUGACGCUGAGGUACGAAAGCGUGGGGAGCAAACAGGAUUAGAUACCCUAGUAGUCC